rnacentral:rRNA from 1 species
UCGGGAAUUUUGGGCAAUGGGGGAAACCCUGACCCAGCAACGCCGCGUGAAGGAUGAAGUAUUUCGGUAUGUAAACUUCGAAAGAAUAGGAAGAAUAAAUGACGGUACUAUUUAUAAGGUCCGGCUAACUACGUGCCAGCAGCCGCGGUAAUACGUAGGGACCAAGCGUUGUUCGGAUUUACUGGGCGUAAAGGGCGCGUAGGCGGCAUGACAAGUCACUUGUGAAAUCUCUGGGCUUAACCCAGAACGGCCAAGUGAUACUGUCGCGCUAGAGUGCAGAAGGGGCAAUCGGAAUUCUUGGUGUAGCGGUGAAAUGCGUAGAUAUCAAGAGGAACACC